GACGAACGCUGGCGGCGUGCUUAACACAUGCAAGUCGAACGGAAAGGCCUUUUCGGAGGUACUCGAGUGGCGAACGGGUGAGUAACACGUGGGUGAUCUGCCCUGCACUCUGGGAUAAGCCUGGGAAACUGGGUCUAAUACCGGAUAGGACCGCACUUUAGUGUGUGUGGUGGAAAGUUUUUUCGGUGUAGGAUGAGCCCGCGGCCUAUCAGCUUGUUGGUGGGGUAAUGGCCUACCAAGGCGGCGACGGGUAGCCGGACUGAGAGGUUGGUCGGCCACAUUGGGACUGGGGUACGGCCCAGACUCCUACGGGGGGCAGCAGUGGGGAAUAUUGCACAAUGGGCGCAAGCCUGAUGCAGCGACGCCGCGUGGGGGAUGACGGCCUUCGGGUUGUAAACUCCUUUCGCCAGGGACGAAGCGUUUUGUGACGGUACCUGGAGAAGAAGCACCGGCUAACUACGUG
rnacentral:rRNA from 1 species